rnacentral:rRNA from 1 species
GACGAACGCUGGCGGCGUGCUUAACACAUGCAAGUCGAACGGAAAGGCCCAGCUUGCUGGGUGCUCGAGUGGCGAACGGGUGAGUAACACGUGGGUGAUCUGCCUCUAACUUCGGGAUAAGCUUGGGAAACUGGGUCUAAUACCGGAUAGGACAAUCGUUUAGUGUCGGUUGUGGAAAGUUUUUUCGGUUAGGGAUGAGCCCGCGGCCUAUCAGCUUGUUGGUGGGGUAAUGGCCCACCAAGGCGUCGACGGGUAGCCGGCCUGAGAGGGUGGACGGCCACAUUGGGACUGAGAUACGGCCCAGACUCCUACGGGAGGCAGCAGUGGGGAAUAUUGCACAAUGGGCGCAAGCCUGAUGCAGCGACGCCGCGUGGGGGAUGACGGCCUUCGGGUUGUAAACCUCUUUCGACAGGGACGAAGCUUUGGUGACGGUACCUGUAUAAGAAGCACCGGCUAACUACGUG